AAGAAAGAAAGUAAACACUCCCAACAUGCACUGAGGGAAAGGGAGUGGCUCAGGUUUCUUACAAGUCCCUGCUCUGACGAAAAGGGGUAAUAAUUAACAGCUUCUGGGGCUUGAUGAUCCUACAGAGGGGCACUGCCAGGUGCAGAGCAGAGCAGCGCGGAGCCUCCGGCUGCCACUCCUCCGCACCUGGCUCCGACCUCCACGGCAGGUGAGGGAGCCCUGCCUUUCCAACGGACAGUCGGGACCUGUGAAUCUGUGACUCAGCAGGGCAACAAAGUCUCUGGAGCAAGUUCAGCUCAACAGCUCAGGGUAUCCUCAGAUGAUCUCACACAAGGGGGAAAGAGGAGUAUGAUGGCUUACCAGUGCUCUUCCUGGAUCUUCAUCAACGAGAGGACAUUCAUUACCAGGUUAUGCAUACGGGCCGUCUGCAGCGGUUUUCUCAUACACAGCGAACAGCUGGCAGUGACCGGGCAGGCGUCUGAAGACUCUAAGAGUAAAGCUGAGCACUGCCCUGGCUGAGCUGUAACAAAAGCAGAUGAGGAAAAAGACAAGGAAAAACACACACAAGCACUUCACUGGCCGUGGAACUUGACCCACCCACGCCUCACUGGGAAGCGAAACAAAGCCAAACAAAUGAUAGAAGGCAGUGGAUAUAAAUGAUGCUGGACUGGGCCACAGGAAAGCAGAGAACAAACAUGGUCAACAAUGGAAUUAAGUCAGAACCGGAG
rnacentral:lncRNA from 1 species